AUAGUACUCCCUCCGUCUCAAAAUNNNNGUCUUAGGUUUGUCUAGAAAUAGAUGUAUCUAAAUACUAUAACAUGGCUAGAUACAUUCAUAUUUAGACAAAUCUAAGACAAGAAUUUUGGGACGGAUAGAGUAUUAA
rfam:Hordeum vulgare subsp. vulgare, WGS project CAJW01000000 data, contig: morex_contig_63099